GUACACUCCUGCGGGAGGCAGCAGUGAGGAAUAUUGAACAAUGGGUGGAAGCCUGAUCCAGCCAUCCCGCGUGCAGGAAGACGGCCCUAUGGGUUGUAAACUGCUUUUAUCUGGGGAUAAACCUACUUACGUGUAAGUAGCUGAAGGUACCAGAAGAAUAAGCACCGGCUAACUCCGUGCCAGCAGCCGCGGUAAUACGGAGGGUGCAAGCGUUAUCCGGAUUUAUUGGGUUUAAAGGGUCCGUAGGCGGACUGAUAAGUCAGUGGUGAAAUCCGACAGCUUAACUGUCGAACUGCCAUUGAUACUGUUAGUCUUGAGUAAGGUUGAAGUGGCUGGAAUAAGUAGUGUAGCGGUGAAAUGCGUAGAUAUUACUUAGAACACCAAUUGCGAAGGCAGGUCACUAAGUCUUAACUGACGCUGAUGGACGAAAGCGUGGGGAGCGAACAGGAUUAGAAACCCCGGUAGUCCC
rnacentral:rRNA from 1 species